rnacentral:rRNA from 1 species
UGGGGAAUAUUGCACAAUGGGCGCAAGCCUGAUGCAGCCAUGCCGCGUGUGUGAAGAAGGCCCUCGGGUUGUAAAGCACUUUCAGCGGGGAGGAAGGCGUUAAGGUUAAUAACCUUGGCGAAUGACGUUACCCGCAGAAGAAGCACCGGCUAACUCCGUGCCAGCAGCCGCGGUAAUACGGAGGGUGCAAGCGUUAAUCGGAAUUACUGGGCGUAAAGCGCACGCAGGCGGUUUGUUAAGUCAGAUGUGAAAUCCCCGGGCUCAACCUGGGAACUGCAGCUGAUACUGGCAAGCUGGAGUCACGUAGAGGGGGGUAGAAUUCCAGGUGUAGCAGUGAAAUGCGUAGAGAUCUGGAGGAAUACCGGUGGCGAAGGCGGCCCCCUAGACGGAGACUGACGCUCAGGUGCGAAAGCGUGGGGAGCAAACAGG